AUGACUGGACCACCCAUGAUCUCUGCUUCUGCUUCAGUGAUUGGGAUCCUGUUGCUUUUUGGAGGCACUUAUGGAGAUUCAGUGACCCAGACAGAAGGACCCAUCAUUCUCCCUGAGGGAACACCACUCAUACUGAACUGCUCUUAUCAGACCAGUGUAACAACACCUUACCUUUUCUGGUAUAUACAGUAUCCCAAUGAAGCUCUGAAGCUCUUCCUGAGAGAGACAUCAGGGAAAGACCAGGAGAAAGACAACAAUGGAUUUUGGGCCAAAAAGAUUAAGGAAAAAUCUUUAUUCCACCUGGAGAAAACUUCAGUGCAAAUGGGAGAUUCUGCUGUGUACUAUUGUGUUCUGAGUGACACAGUGAUGGUGACUGUAGGGGGAGCUGAACAUAAACCCCGAGAGGCACAGGAGUGA